rnacentral:rRNA from 1 species
CGCGCAGGCGGUCGAUCAAGUCGAGUGUGAAAGCCCCCGGCUCAACUGGGGAGGGUCAUUCGAUACUGAUCGACUCGAAGGCAGGAGAGGGUAGUGGAAUUCCUGGUGUAGUGGUGAAAUGCGUAGAUAUCGGGAGGAACACCAGUGGCGAAGGCGACUACCUGGCCUGUUCUUGACGCUGAGGCGCGAAAGCUAGGGGAGCAAACG